GACGAACGCUGGCGGCGUGCUUAACACAUGCAAGUCGAACGGGAGUAUCGAAGAAGCUUGCUUUAGAGAUACUUUAGUGGCGGACGGGUGAGUAACGCGUGAGGAGCUGUCCAAUGCAGGGGGACAACAGUUGGAAACGACUGAUAAUACCCCAUAAGCCGAGAGGUAAAAGGAUUUAUCCGGCAAUGGAGGUACUCGCGUCCUAUCAGCUAGUAGGUGAGGUAACGGCUCACCUAGGCGAAGACGGGUAGCCGGCCUGAGAGGGCGAACGGCCACACUGGAACUGAGAUACGGUCCAGACUCCUACGGGAGGCAGCAGUGGGGAAUAUUGGGCAAUGGGGGGAACCCUGACCCAGCGACGCCGCGUGGGUGAAGAAAUCCUUCGGGAUGUAAAGCCCUGUUGUAUGGGAAGAGCGGAAGACGGUACCAUACGAGGAAGCCCCGGAAACUACGUG
rnacentral:rRNA from 1 species